UAGCGUUUGAUUGGCAUUGUGUGUGUCCGAAUAGUUAGCCACGGGACCCACGACUACUGAAAGCUUUGAAUAUCUGACCGGGACGACUGGAGAGGACUCGGAACAACCUAGAUUCUGCACUUGUCUGGAGUAGUGGAUGAGAAGUUUGUAGCAGCUCGGGGAGGGAGCGGGAACAGCAUCGGCCACAACUGGAAUCUCAUUGAUCGGCAGCCAUGAUCACAGGCAUUAUUCAUCACCUCUUUUUUUCCCACCUCUUUGAUGAGUCUUUUACACCUGAUGCUCAGCCGUGCCUUUUCAGCCUUGCUCCAACAAGCACAUAAUGGAUUCUCUAAUCCACCAUGGUUGAGAUUAAAAUCUGACUCAGAUUUACAGAAGGCAAUGCUAUGAGAGGGGGGAGGAAGAAAGGGAGAUGUGGGGGAGGGGCACUGGAUUAGGGACAGAUUGUAUCCUUUUACGGCACAGCUGUGUAAGUGAGGCAUCUCUCUAGAUGCCUCUACAAACUGACCUCAGAUCAGACUAGGCUACUGUAUCAGUAUUAAACAGAGAAAUGUUUAUUUUAGACCAGCCAUUUGGAUGAGCUUCUGAAUGUCUUUUUCCAAAUCAGGACAGUUUGGCCAUGUUAUACUAUAUAUUUUGAAUAUGGUUGUAUAUACAAAAUAUGUGUUGUGUAUAUGUAAAAAAAAAAAAAAAAAACUUUUAACAGUCAGUUUAGUUCAGAUGGCUCCAACCUGGGGAUCACAGUCGAAUCAAGAUUAAUUCCAUCCAGAUGAAACAUUAUUUUUCAUACAUUCUUGUAAUAUUACUGUAAGCAAGCAUUGCUGGAGUUUUCUCCCCACAUAAAAAAUAUAUUUUUUAAAAUAAAUAUUUAUUUAUUCGCAGCCUGAAAUGAA